GAGUUUGAUCUUGGCUCAGAUUGAACGCUGGCGGCAUGCCUUACACAUGCAAGUCGAACGGCAGCACGGGAGCUUGCUCCUGGUGGCGAGUGGCGAACGGGUGAGUAAUGCAUCGGAACGUAUCCUGGAGUGGGGGAUAACGUAGCGAAAGUUACGCUAAUACCGCAUAUUCUGUGAGCAGGAAAGCGGGGGACCUUCGGGCCUCGCGCUCUUGGAGCGGCCGAUGUCGGAUUAACUAGUUGGUGAGGUAAAGGCUCACCAAGGCGACGAUCCGUAGCAGGUCUGAGAGGAUGAUCUGCCACACUGGAACUGAGACACGGUCCAGACUCCUACGGGAGGCAGCAGUGGGGAAUUUUGGACAAUGGGGGCAACCCUGAUCCAGCCAUGCCGCGUGAGUGAAGAAGGCC
rnacentral:rRNA from 1 species